CCUACGGGCGGCAGCAGUGAGGAAUAUUGGUCAAUGGGCGCAAGCCUGAACCAGCCAAGUCGCGUGAGGGAUGAAGGUUCUAUGGAUCGUAAACCUCUUUUAUAAGGGAAUAAAGUGUGGGACGUGUCCGAUUUUGUAUGUACCUUAUGAAUAAGGAUCGGCUAACUCCGUGCCAGCAGCCGCGGUAAGACGGAGUCUCCGAGCGUUAUCCGGAUUUAUUGGGUUUAAAGGGUGCGUAGGCGGCCUUUUAAGUCAGCGGGGAAAGUCUGUGGCUCAACCAUAGAAUUGCCGUUGAAACUGGGGGGCUUGAGUAUGUUUGAGGCAGGCGGAAUGCGUGGUGUAGCGGUGAACUGCUUAGAUAUCACGCAGAACCCCGAUUGCGCAGGCAGCCUGCCAAGCCAUGCCUGACGCUGAUGCACGAAAGCGUGGGGAUCAAACAGGAUUAGAUACCCGGGUAGUC
rnacentral:rRNA from 1 species